GACGAACGCUGGCGGCGUGCCUAAUACAUGCAAGUUGAGCGAUGAAGAUUGGUGCUUGCACCAAUUUGAAGAGCAGCGAACGGGUGAGUAACGCGUGGGGAAUCUGCCUUUGAGCGGGGGACAACAUUUGGAAACGAAUGCUAAUACCGCAUAACAACUUUAAACAUAAGUUUUAAGUUUGAAAGAUGCAAUUGAAUCACUCAAAGAUGAUCCCGCGUUGUAUUAGCUAGUUGGUGAGGUAAAGGCUCACCAAGGCGAUGAUACAUAGCCGACCUGAGAGGGUGAUCGGCCACAUUGGGACUGAGACACGGCCCAAACUCCUACGGGAGGCAGCAGUAGGGAAUCUUCGGCAAUGGACGAAAGUCUGACCGAGCAACGCCGCGUGAGUGAAGAAGGUUUUCGGAUCGUAAAACUCUGUUGGUAGAGAAGAACGUUGGUGAGAGUGGAAAGCUCAUAAAGUGACGGUAACUACCCAGAAAGGGACGGCUAACUACGUG
rnacentral:rRNA from 1 species